CUCCUACGGGAGGCAGCAGUGGGGAAUAUUGCGCAAUGGGCGAAAGCCUGACGCAGCGACGCCGCGUGGGGGAUGAAGGCCUUCGGGUUGUAAACCUCUUUCAGCAGGGACGAAUUCAGACGGUACCUGCAGAAGAAGCACCGGCCAACUACGUGCCAGCAGCCGCGGUAAUACGUAGGGUGCAAGCGUUGUCCGGAAUUAUUGGGCGUAAAGAGCUCGUAGGCGGUCUGUCGCGUCGGCUGUGAAAACUUGGGGCUCAACCCCAAGCCUGCAGUCGAUACGGGCAGACUAGAGUGCGGUAGGGGAGACUGGAAUUCCUGGUGUAGCGGUGAAAUGCGCAGAUAUCAGGAGGAACACCGGUGGCGAAGGCGGGUCUCUGGGCCGUAACUGACGCUGAGGAGCGAAAGCGUGGGGAGCGAACAGGAUUAGAUACCCUGGUAGUCCACGCCGUAAACGGUGGGUGCUAGGUGUAGGCGGUAUUCCACGCCGUCUGUGCCGCAGC
rnacentral:rRNA from 1 species